CAUAUUGCAAGAUAAGACUUUGCCAACCUGAAAAACUAAGCAAGAUUCUAAUUAAAUCAGGGAAAGAAUGAUGAACUAGCUAUACAUUUUAUUUAAGGAUGGCAGUUACAUAAGUUAUCAAAGAUCUCACACUUGCUAUCUGAUGGGAAAUGUUGUUGCCAGAUCUCACAGGCUAUUUCCAGGGAGAGAAAUCCUUGUUCCGCUGGUUCCAAGUACUGUUGUGAUUUUGCCUUCAGUGGGGUCAGGACUCUGCUGCCGCUCUCCGUUUUACUCGGAAGUCACGUCGGUCCUGUUGAAAGCUGCAGAUGAUCCAGCAAUGAAGCAAUGUGUCAGCGUGCUAUGAGGAAACACCGCACUGCGAGUGCUGCCAUGUUUCCAGUGAGGCACAAUGUCCCGACUAUUUAUGGUUAUUAAAGGUCCCCGGUGCACCUUUUGAAAUAUGGAGAUAACGUUGGCGAUUGCGUCCUGUUCCAAACUGCGUGCUGGGCUCCUCUCUCUUUUGGAACGGCGGAUAUUUUCCAGAAACAACCAUGCUGCAGUGGUCCCAUGGAGUUAAACUGAAUUCUGUAACUGUGCGCUUGGUGUCAUCUCCUGUGGAGGUUCACUCUGAUCCCUCCCCUGGCUCCGGAGCCCCAGCUGAACUGUGGCUGAAGAUCUUCACAUGAUAUUAACGCACGUUUGGUGCUGCCUGCCAUCCUGUCGGGACUUUUUCAAAAGCCAGGGCAGCGCUCUGGAUCUCGAGUGCUCCUCCAGGUGCCUGAGCUGCACACAUGUCCCUAUUUUUAAUUUUUAUUUAAUAUUUCCAAGUGAGUAAAACUCUGAAAUUGUACUCUGAAAUUGUACCCACCGCUGCAGAAACUCAAGUGAGGGGCAGCAAAAUUCAAUUUUGCUUAUGCCGCUCGAACUGGCUCUGGUCUCAGGGGCAGGAUUAGUUCUGUACGUGACGCGGGACCACAGCAGAGUCCCAGCCUCAGCAUCAGGCCCCUUGAAGAUCAGACCCCUUCCUGCUGCAAUGAGCCUGGGGGGUCUUCUCCACCUCCCCAUCCCUCUGCCGGAGCCCCUGCGGCAGCAGGACCCGCACCGGGCCUUGUUCAUGCACCAUGGACCCCGACACA
rnacentral:lncRNA from 1 species